rnacentral:rRNA from 1 species
GCGAGAAACCUUUACAACGUGCGAAAGCAUGAUAAGGGAACUCCGAGUGCCAGUAUCUAAUACUGGCUGUCCUUGUGCCUAAAACGCACAAGAUAGCAAGGGCCGGGUAAGACCGGUGCCAGCCGCCGCGGUAACACCGGCGGCCCGAGUGGUAGCCGCUAUUAUUGGGUCUAAAGGGUCCGUAGCCGGUUCGAUAAGUCCUCUGGGAAAUCUGGUUGCUUAACAAUCAGACUGCCAAGGGAUACUGUCGAACUUGAGACCGGGAGAGGUAAGAGGUACUUCAGGGGUAGGA